rnacentral:lncRNA from 1 species
CUUUGGAUUCUUCUGUAGUCUCACCGUCUACGUCGUUAUCAUUAUGACUGCAGGGGUGUCGAAUAUCGUGAUUAGUUAGGAAACAUAAGAUAGAUUAAAAAUUAUUCUAGCUUGUCUUGUACUUUAAAUUGAUAUCAUGUACUUUUAUAUGUAUGCCCAUGCUCAACCAAUAAUCAACGAUUCCACCAAUCUUCCCCUAUCCCUUCUAACAAUGCACCAUGUCGACACAAUCCAGCUACACAGCAGCACGAUCACGGUCAUAAUCACAGACGUGAUACAGACAGGAUGCCGUGGAAUGAGCAGGGUGCGUUGCGCGCUAAUGCACCGCACUGUGGGAACCCUCAAGUAUUUCUGCACGUUACCCAAAAAGUGUACUAUAGAAGCAGGCUCUGACUGAGGACCAAAGAUAUCCCCGGCAUCGCGAUUGUACGUGAGCACACACUAAAACAAGACCGAGAAUACUUAUUAGUGCCAGACGGGCGUAUCUGCAAAAACAUGUGUGCACAAUACUGUUAGCAUCCUUACUUAUCACCUCUAACAAGGUAGAUAUAUUACGUAUACACUAACCUCUCUGGAUCACAUAAGCAUUUUGGAGAUUUCUACAUUGACCCUAACAGUUAGUUCGCAGAGCAGUGAAACAGUUUCAUUCCCAAUGCCUCAUAAUCCUAAUGUGUAUUCUCCAACUCUAAAAUACAAGAGGAAUUGUGGAAUCGGUGUGAGUCUUUUCUAGUAAGUAGAUGUAUAGAGUUGGCUGCCUUAUAUAUGGUAUUUGUCAUAGGAGACACAUUCCAGUAGCUAGGUAGUCGUGAGUGAUUGAUUUCUUUUGCAUGUCAAGAGUAAAUAAAGUGUAUGACAUGUCCAUGUGAGUUUAAUGAUGAUGUCACUAUAUUUCAACCAUGAGAAGCGUAGGUGAUGGUCAUAAGGACAGUUGUAAGAUUAUUGACUUGUGCUGGACUAAUAACAGACAUAAUAGUAAGAGCAAGUAUAAUUAAUAAGGUGAUGUAAGUCGGUUACCAGAGUUUUAUUUUAUUUUUAAGUUGUAAGAGAGAGAGAAGGAGAGAGAGAAGAGAAGGAGAUUAGAGCAAGUAUAAUAAAAUAAUGUAAACAACCAAUAAU